AGCCUUGCAGAAAUCCAGCAGAUGCAGCCGGGGCUCCUUUCUAACAAAUCCUAAAGGGCAGCCAUCUUGCUUCCUUCUGCUCCUCUACGAAAGCAGCUUAGCCUCCGCAUCAAUAUUCAUAAGAUGUCUCCUUGGUGUCAUAAAAUGGGGAAGAGAGGAUAAAUGUUUUCCAUGUGAAGGAAGAAAGAUCUUGGCACUGGGACAGAUAGAAGCAAAACAGCCAAAAGGAAAAAAAUGGCGGCCUCCAGGUGGUUGUUGGAGCUGAAAAGAUUAAGGAAAUCCAAGCCUUGAUGUACCAUGCCAGAUCUAACCCUGUGAAUUGGACAGAAAAUGUAGCUCGAAUAAAUGUGUAAUAUCUAUUCAGCAGAUUCAUUAAAUGUCUUUUUCUCCUAGAGCAGUAUGAGAGAUGUGUUGGAUUGAUGGUUUCUAUUUUGAGAAUUUGUUAAUUCUCAUGGGUUACUUUUAUUUUAGGAAUUGUUUCAUGGAUUAAAAAAAAAAAAAAAAACAGCCAUUGGGGUAUCCUGUACCUGAGAUCUAUUUUGUUUUGAAUGCCUUUUCUAGAAGGAACCCUUUUAGUGUCUUAGGAGAGAACCUGGAAUUUCUUUGGAAUUCUGAGUUGAAGACAGAGAACCAAGAAGAUAUGCAAAAGCCUUAUUCCCUCUGUUUGAGGUCUGGUUACCUUAGAACUGAGCCUGUUCUGUUUGAAUACUGAGAAAAGCCCUUUUUUCUGAGACUAUUUCCUGGCAGUCUGUUAUGUACUCAUCAGUACAUAAAACAUUGAUACAUAUAAAACAUAUGACAUAGAAUGCAUUUAAAUGUCUUCAGUGUCAAUUUUUCUGGAUAUAUGUACAACACACAAACAAUACAUGUGUAUCUGUAUGUAUGGACUUUCAGAACUAUAGUAGCUAUUGCAUUACAAAAUUAUUCUGCAUAAGUGUAUAUAUAUAUAUAUAUAUAUAUAUACACACACAUGAAUAUACAUUUCUGCUACAUGUCCAUGUUUCUUUUUUCAUAGAUUUAUUUUUGCUUCUUUGUCUGUCUGUCUGUCUGUCUGUCUCUAUCUCUG